ACGGGGUGCAGCAGGCGCGAAAACUUCGCAAUGCGCGCAAGCGUGACGAGGGAACCCCAAGUGUCUCGUCACAAACGAGACUUUUGUAUAGUGUAAAAAGCUUUACGAAUAAGGGCUGGGUAAGACUGGUGCCAGCCUCCGCGGUAACACCAGCAGCUCAAGUGGUGGCCACGUUUAUUGGGUUUAAAGCGUUCGUAGUCUGUUAUACAAGUCCUCUGUGAAAUCCUCCAGCUUAACUGGGGGGCUUGCAGAGGAAACUAUAUGACUUGAGGCCAGGAGAGGUCAGGGGUAUUCUCAGGGUAGCGGUGAAAUGUUAUAAUCCUGGGAGGACCACCGGUGGCGAAGGCGCCUGACUGGAAUGGGCCUGACGAUGAGGAACGAAAGCUAGGGGAGCGAACCGGAUUAGAUACCCGGGUAGUCCUAGCUGUAAACGAUGUAGGCUGAGUGUUGUCGUACCUUUGUGGUGCGGCAGUGCUGAAGGGAAACCGUUAAGCCUACCACCUGGGGAGUACGGUCGCAAG
rnacentral:rRNA from 1 species